rnacentral:rRNA from 1 species
AACGAACGCUGGCGGCAUGCCUAACACAUGCAAGUCGAGCGGAUGACGGGAGCUUGCUCCUUGAUUCAGCGGCGGACGGGUGAGUAAUGCCUAGGAAUCUGCCUGGUAGUGGGGGACAACGUUUCGAAAGGAACGCUAAUACCGCAUACGUCCUACGGGAGAAAGCAGGGGACCUUCGGGCCUUGCGCUAUCAGAUGAGCCUAGGUCGGAUUAGCUAGUUAGUGGGGUAAUGGCUCACCAAGGCGACGAUCCGUAACUGGUCUGAGAGGAUGAUCAGUCACACUGGAACUGAGAAACGGUCCAGACUCCUACGGGAGGCAGCAGUGGGGAAUAUUGGACAAUGGGCGAAAGCCUGAUCCAGCCAUGCCGCGUGUGUGAAGAAGGUCUUCGGAUUAUAAAGCACUUUAAGUUGGGAGGAAGGGCAGUAAGCUAAUACCUUGCUGUUUUGACGUUACCGACAGAAUAAGCACCGGCUAACUCUGUGCCAGCCGCCGCCGUAA